CAGGUUACUUUUCCAGCCAAGGCAGGUUACCAUUCACAGGUGGGUGGACUGGGAUAAUGCAGGUGAAGUGUCAUGACAAAAGGCACAGACA